rnacentral:rRNA from 1 species
GAUGAACGCUGGCGGCGUGCCUAAUACAUGCAAGUCGAGCGAAUGGAUUAAGAGCUUGCUCUUAUGAAGUUAGCGGCGGACGGGUGAGUAACACGUGGGUAGCCUGCCCAUAAGACUGGGAUAACUCCGGGAAACCGGGGCUAAUACCGGAUAACAUUUUGAACCGCAUGGUGCGAAAUUGAAAGGCGGCUUCGGCUGUCACUUAUGGAUGGUCCCGCGUCGCAUUAGCUAGUUGGUGAGGUAACGGCUCACCAAGGCAACGAUGCGUAGCCGACCUGAGAGGGUGAUCGGCCACACUGGGACUGAGACACGGCCCAGACUCCUACGGGAGGCAGCAGUAGGGAAUCUUCCGCAAUGGACGAAAGUCUGACGGAGCAACGCCGCGUGAGUGAUGAAGGCUUUCGGGUCGUAAAACUCUGUUGUUAGGGAAGAACAAGUGCUAGUUGAAUAAGCUGACACCUUGACGGUACCUAACCAGAAAGCCACGGCUAACUACGUGCCAGCCGCCGCCGUAACAC